UAGGGAAUCUUCGGCAAUGGACGAAAGUCUGACCGAGCAACGCCGCGUGAGUGAAGAAGGUUUUCGGAUCGUAAAACUCUGUUGUUAGAGAAGAACAAGGACGUUAGUAACUGAACGUCCCCUGACGGUAUCUAACCAGAAAGCCACGGCUAACUACGUGCCAGCAGCCGCGGUAAUACGUAGGUGGCAAGCGUUGUCCGGAUUUAUUGGGCGUAAAGCGAGCGCAGGCGGUUUCUUAAGUCUGAUGUGAAAGCCCCCGGCUCAACCGGGGAGGGUCAUUGUAAACUGGGAGACUUGAGUGCAGAAGAGGAGAGUGGAAUUCCAUGUGUAGCGGUGAAAUGCGUAGAUAUAUGGAGGAACACCAGUGGCGAAGGCGGCUCUCUGGUCUGUAACUGACGCUGGGGCUCGAAAGCGUGGGGAGCAAACAGG
rnacentral:rRNA from 1 species